CUGUCCACUAGUCGCUGUGAGCUAUAUGUUCAGCCUGUAUUAUGUGCUGAAUAUAAAGUAUCCAACGGGAGCAGCCCUGACUCUGGAGUUCAUCCAGAGGUGCCUGCUGGGGAUAAACCCAGAACGGGGCACGAAAGCAGAAAAGCGGAGGAAACAGUACAACAUCCCUCCAAAACUGCUUAGAUUCCUGUCGGACCUUAAUGACUUCAAGAAUCCGUGGAAGAUUUAAAGCAGAAGAAGCAUCUCAAACAGAGAGAAAGGAGAGUGAUGUGUGUC